rnacentral:rRNA from 1 species
UACGGGGGGGGCAAGCGUUGUUCGGAAUUACUGGGCGUAAAGGGCUCGUAGGCGGCCAACUAAGUCCGACGUGAAAUCCCCAGGCUUAACCUGGGAACUGCGUCGGAUACUGGUUGGCUUGAAUCCGGGAGAGGGAUGCGGAAUUCCAGGUGUAGCGGUGAAAUGCGUAGAUAUCUGGAGGAACACCGGUGGCGAAGGCGGCAUCCUGGACCGGCAUUGACGCUGAGGCGCGAAAGCCAGGGGAGCAAACGGG